CUGGGUCAGAAGACAAGAAUUUCCAGGGGAAGUCCUCAGUCAUCCUGGUGCUUCCCCAAGUGAUGGUGGGAAUCUGACACUCAGAGGGAAUGAAGGGAACUGGAGGAAGAGCCAUCCUUGAGACAGUACAGCAAAGGACUUGGCUGAGUUAUGUCUCUGUCCUAAAACUUCUGGGAAGGCAGGAUUUAAAGCCCUGAACUAGGGAAGUUGGCUGAAGAAAUCUCUUAUGUGUUCGAGAGAGCAAGAUGCUGAGGCUACAGAGCUGAGAGAAACAAACUCCCAAGUAAAAAAGAGGAGAUAUCAUAAGGGUACCAAGUCAUAAUGUACUCACAGCCAAGUCUAGUGAUGAAGGCCCCACAUUGACAAAGAAAUACAAAGAAGCAACUACCAGGGCCUAAUGUAGCUUACUAAGAAUGGACGCUCAGCUGCCAUGGAAACAAAGCAAGUAGCAUCCUCUGGGACCAGCAAAAUACCAAAGUCCUUACUUCCUUAGGCCAGGGAGUUUGUCACCCAAUGGACUACAGAAGCCUAUCCAGUUGAAUAAGCUGUGGCCUCCUCUCUCCGGCCGACAGAGAACAGGUCAGGACUCUUCAUCCUGCUCUGAGACCUGAAGGAAACAUUCCCAAGUUCAUGUAUAAAGAGAAGAAUAUGCAGCAUGUAUGUCUAAUCUCCCCCUCAAGGCGACACACUUGAAAACAGAAAUCAAGAUUUAUCUCUCUAACUGUAAUCAUUCUAAAAGCCAGACAGAAUUAAUAGUGUUUCAUUUUGGGGGGAAAUUGUCUAAAGUUAAUAUAAAUUACUUAGGCUAUUAUUGAAAAAUCACAUAUAUAAAUCUGAUGUUUCUCUCAGGAUUGUGUUUGCAGAUUUAUAGACCCUAUGUAAUAUAAAUGAGAAUGAGGAAACAACGAUCUUAUUCAAUAUUCUCAUGCUGCACACAGUAAAUGGUCUAUAUCCACACCACUUUCUCUUUGCUCAGGCCACUCUGGCCUGCAGCUGCUCUCUGAAUCUACCAGGUUCUGUCCUGCGAUCCCUAAGUGGUGUAGCACAGGCUUUCUCUCGGAUGGAAGCCCUUUCAAUGUCCCUCCUUGUGAGUGACCUCCCUGAUUGCCUACUCAGCAUCACCCUCACCUCCAAACUCUCGCAGGUGUCCAAGCCCUUCGCUAUGGCUCAGCUCCAUCUGCCUGGGACAGCUUGGGUAUCACUACUAAAUUGCUUCAGAGGAACAUUUUGGAUUUUGUAUUCUUUCAGAUGUUGUAACAUUUUCAUUCACAUAAUGAGACGUCUUGGGAUGAAAACCAA